AGGGCGCGUAGGCGGUUUUUUAAGUCAAAUUGUGAAAUCCAGGGCUUAACUCUGGGACUGCGUUUGAAACUGAAAGACUAGAGAUCAGGAGAGGGAAAGUGGAAUCCUAGUGUAGCGGUGAAAUGCGUAGAUAUUAGGAAGAACAUCGAUGGCGAAAGGCAGCUUUCUGGCCUGACACUGACGCUGAGGCGCGAAAGCGUGGGGAGCAUACAGGAUUAGAUACCCUGGUAGUCCACGCCGUAAACGAUGGAUACUAGGUGUAGGGGGUUCGAUUCCCUCUAUGCCGCAGUUAACGCAAUAAGUAUCCCGCCUGGGGAGUACGGUCGCAAGAUUGAAACUCAAAGGAAUUGACGGGGGCCCGCACAAGCGGUGGAGUAUGUGGUUUAAUUCGAUGCAACGCGAAGAACCUUACCAAGGCUUGACAUCCCGUGACGGCCUGUGAAAGCAGGAGUUCCCUUCGGGGACACGGAGACAGGUGGUGCAUGGUUGUCGUCAGCUCGUGUCGUGAGAUGUUGGGUUAAGUCCCGCAACGAGCGCAACCCCUGUCCUUAGUUACCAGCAGUAAGAUGGGGACUCUAAGGAGACUGCCAGUGACAAACUGGAGGAAGGUGGGGAUGACGUCAAAUCAUCAUGCCCUUUAUGCCUUGGGCUACACACGUACUACAAUGGGCUGUACAGAGGGCGGCAAGACUGUGAAGUCAAGCGAAUCCCUUAAAGCAGUCCUCAGUUCGGAUUGUAGGCUGCAACUCGCCUACAUGAAGCUGGAAUCGCUAGUAAUCGCUGGUCAGCAUACAGCGGUGAAUACGUUCCCGGGCCUUGUACACACCGCCCGUCACACCACCCGAGUCUGAUGCACCAGAAGUCGCUGUCCUAACCUUUAAGGAGGGAGGCGCCAAAGGUGUGUCCGGUAAGGGGGGUG
rnacentral:rRNA from 1 species